CCAACGGGAGAAGGGUUGUUAAGGAACUCGGCAAAUUGACCCCGUAACUUCGGGAUAAGGGGAGCCGGCCACGGCCGGCCGCAGUGAAUAGGCCCAAGCAACUGUUUACCAAAAACACAGGUCUCUGCUAAAUCGAAAGAUGACGUAUAGGGGCUGACGCCUGCCCGGUGCUGGAAGGUUAAGAGGAGAGCUUAGCGCAAGCGAAGGUUUGAAUUUAAGCCCCAGUAAACGGCGGCCGUAACUAUAACGGUCCUAAGGUAGCGAAAUUCCUUGUCAGGUAAGUUCUGACCCGCACGAAUGGCGUAACGAUCUGGGCACUGUCUCAACAGCCCGCCCGGCGAAAUUGUAGUACCGGUGAAGAUGCCGGUUACCCGCAACUAGACGGAAAGACCCCAUGGAGCUUUACUGCAGCUUAAUACUGAGAUUCGGUAAUUCAUGUACAGGAUAGGUGGGAGACUUGGAAGCAGGGGCGUCAGCUUCUGUGGAGUCACCCUUGGGAUACCACCCUUGGAUUGCUGGGUUUCUAACCUGCGGCCAUGAAUCUGGUCGGGGGACACUGUUAGGCGGGCAGUUUGACUGGGGCGGUCGCCUCCUAAAAUGUAGCGGAGGCGCUCAAAGCUUGGCUCAGCAUGGAUGGAAAUCAUGCAAUGAGUGUAAACGUAUAAGCCAAGUUGACUGCGAGACCGACGGGUCGAGCAGGUACGAAAGUAGGAGUUAGUGAUCCGGUGGUAUGUGAGUGGAAAUGCCAUCGCUCAACGGAUAAAAGCUACCCUGGGGAUAACAGGCUGAUCUCCCCCAAGCGUCCACAGCGACGGGGAGGUUUGGCACCUCGAUGUCGGCUCGUCGCAUCCUGGGGCUGUAUUCGGUCCCAAGGGUUUGGCUGUUCGCCAAUUAAAGCGGCACGCGAGCUGGGUUCAGAACGUCGUGAGACAGUUCGGUCCCUAUCUGUUGCGGGCGUAAGAGAUUUGAAGGGAGCUGUCCUUAGUACGAGAGGACCGGGAUGGACAUACCUCUGGUGUACCAGUUGUUCUGCCAAGGGCACGGCUGGGUAGCUACGUAUGGACGAGAUAAACGCUGAAGGCAUCUAAGCGUGAAACUCCCCCUAAGAUAAGAUCUCUCAUCCUUUAUGGAGUAAGGCUCGUCGUAGACUAUGACGUUGAUAGGUCAGAGGUGGAAGCGCCGUAAGGUGUGUAGCUGACUGAUACUAAUAAGCCGAGGGCUUGACCU
rnacentral:rRNA from 1 species